UACGUAGGAGGCAAGCGUUGUCCGGAAUUACUGGGCGUAAAGAGCGUGUAGGCGGCAUGAGAAGUCUGCUGUGAAAGCUCUCGGCUUAACCGGGAGAGGUCGGCAGAAACUCUCAAGCUAGAGGACGGUAGAGGGGGGUGGAAUUCCCGGUGUAGUGGUGAAAUGCGUAGAUAUCGGGAGGAACACCAGAGGCGAAGGCGGCCCCCUGGGCCGCUCCUGACGCUGAGACGCGAAGGCCAGGGUAGCGAACGGG
rnacentral:rRNA from 1 species